CAGCCGCCACGGUAAUACGAAGGGUGCAAGCGUUACUCGGAAUUACUGGGCGUAAAGCGUGCGUAGGUGGUGGUUUAAGUCCGUUGUGAAAGCCCUGGGCUCAACCUGGGAAUUGCAGUGGAUACUGGGUCACUAGAGUGUGGUAGAGGAUAGUGGAAUUUCCGGUGUAGCAGUGAAAUGCGUAGAGAUCGGAAGGAACAUCUGUGGCGAAGGCGACUAUCUGGGCCAACACUGACACUGAGGCACGAAAGCGUGGGGAGCAAACAGGAUUAGAUACCCGUGUAGUCCCUGUCUCUUAUAC
rnacentral:rRNA from 1 species